CCUACGGGUGGCAGCAGUGAGGAAUAUUGGUCAAUGGACGAGAGUCUGAACCAGCCAAGUAGCGUGAAGGAUGACUGCCCUAUGGGUUGUAAACUUCUUUUAUAUGGGAAUAAAACGUUCCACGUGUGGGAUUUUGUAUGUACCAUAUGAAUAAGGAUCGGCUCACUCCGUGCCAGCAGCCGCGGUAAUACGGAGGAUCCGAGCGUUAUCCGGAUUUAUUGGGUUUAAAGGGAGCGUAGUUGGGUUGUUAAGUCAGUUGUGAAAGUUUGCGGCUCAACCGUAAAAUUGCAGUUGAAACUGGCAGUCUUGAGUACAGUAGAGGUGGGCGGAAUUCGUGGUGUAGCGGUGAAAUGCUUAGAUAUCACGAAGAACUCCGAUGGCGAAGGCAGUUCACUGGACUGCAACUGACACUGAGGCUCGAAAGUGUGGGUAUCAAACAGGAUUAGAUACCCGGGUAGUC
rnacentral:rRNA from 1 species